GGGACACGUGAAACCCUGUGGGAAGCAGGAGGGACCACCCUCCAAGGCUAAAUACUACCUAGUGACCGAUAGCGUAUAGUACCGUGAGGGAAAGGUGAAAAGAACCCCGGGAGGGGAGUGAAAUAGAACCUGAAACCCUGCACUUACAAGCUGUGGAAGCACAUUUCUUGUGUGACCGCGUACUUUUUGUAGAACGGGCCAACGAGUUACGUU
rnacentral:rRNA from 1 species